rnacentral:rRNA from 1 species
UACGUAGGUGACCAGCGUUGUCCGGAUUUACUGGGCGUAAAGAGCGCGCAGGCGGUCGUUCAAGUCGAGUGUGAAAGCCCCCGGCUCAACUGGGGAGUGUCGUGCGAUACGGGCGAACUGGAGGCCAGUAGGGGGAUGCGGAAUUCCGGGUGUAGUGGUGGAAUGCGUAGAGAUCCGGAGGAACACCAGCGGCGAAGGCGGCAUCCUGGACUGGUCCUGACACUCAGGAGCGAAAGCGUGGGGAGCGAUCCGG